rnacentral:rRNA from 1 species
UCAAGAAACUUCUACAAUGGGCGAAAGCCUGAUGGAGCGACGUCGCGUGAUGGACGAAGUGCUUCGGCACGUAAACAUCUUUUAUGUGGGAUGAAAUUAUUGACAGUACCACAUGAAUAAGGGGCUCCUAACUCUGUGCCAGCAGGAGCGGUAAUACAGAGGCCCCAAGCGUUAUCCGGAAUCACUGGGCGUAAAGGGUGUCGAGGCGGUUGUAUUAGUCGUUCGUAAAAUCUACGAGCUUAACUUGUAGGCGGCGAACGAAACGGUACGACUUGAGGUUUGGAGAGGUGCGUGGAACUCACGGUGUAGGGGUGAAAUCCGUUGAUAUCGUGGGGAACACCAAAGGCGAAGGCAGCGCACUGGCCAAAAUCUGACGCUCACACACGAAAGCUAGGGUAGCGAAGAGGAUUAGAUACCCACGUAGUCCCUGAGCGGGCUGGCAAGGCGCAU